rnacentral:SRP_RNA from 2 species
GCCUGGCAUGGUGGCGCAUGCCUGUAGUCCCAGCUACUCGGGAGGCUGAGACAGGAGAAUUGCUUGAACCUGGGAGACAGGGGUUGCGGUGAGCCGAGGUCAUGCCACCGCACUCCAGCCUGGGUGACACAGUGAGACUCUGUCUCAA